rnacentral:lncRNA from 1 species
UACUACCCUUACGUGAGAAGUUCCUAUCCUAUUAUUUAUUUUGUAGGAUUUCUACCAUCGGAGUGGGAGUGAAAAUUGCUGAAGCAUAUCUUCUACUUGUAUAAGUCUUAGAAUAGUCUAUCUAUAAAAAUUCUCUCUCUCUUGGGUUCUAGGGUACCAUCAGAAAUUCUAGAAAUUUAAGCGCUGUGCUACGAUCAGCUCUGUUAGCCAGUUCGCAACUAGAAAGAACAACUCUGAAGAAGAAACACGUGACAAAAUCAAGAAAAUAUUUAGAUGGAUCGAGAAGUUCGUAAAACAAGACGAGAAUAGACCUUGGUAAUUGCAACACAAAUUCUGCAGCGAAAAAAGUAUGCAAAAUUUAUGUGAUUUUCAUCACGAUUAGUUCAUAAUUUUCAACUAUUUUCAAAAGAGAAGGAGAAUUAUGAUAACUGAAAUAUUCAGAUGAAGUCUUAGAUUAGAUGCCAAAAUAUUUGGGAGAUGGUAGAAAGGCCAAAAAGAGCCUCUUAUAGUGAGAACCAGGAAAUUUCAGAGCAGUUUGGGGUCCCGGAGGCAUUCCGUUGAGUUUUCGGAAGUGUCGGCGAUUGUUCAAGUAUCGUUUGGUUUGUAUAUAAAUAAGAACUGCUUAUUAUAGGAAUAUGUAUAAGUUCUAGUACAAACAAUGACUAGACUAAUUUUGUAUUUGGAUGAAAAUUUGGUUGUUUUUGAGAAUAAGAAAAAUAGCGUUUGGAUAGAUAAGAUGAAUAAGAAGAAUAGUAAGUAGUUGUAAAUAAAAAAUAAUGAUAUGACCCCUCUCAUUAUAUUUGAAUUUGAAUUUUUAAAUUUUAUAUUUAUAUUUUUAAAUUUAGAGUCUUACGGUGCUUGUUUU